rnacentral:lncRNA from 10 species
GAAUGUCAUUUAGCAGAUGGCAUUUGAGCAAACACUUGCAAAAGGUGAGGAAGAUAGCCAUCAUAGCUGAUGGAACAAGCAAAACAAAAGUCAUAAGGAAGAAUUGUACUCGUGUGUUUGAAGACAUCAAGGAAUCCGGGGCGAUAGACAUAGCAAGUGAGGGGAGGGUAUGAGAGGAAUUGGGUGGGAGGCACAGUGGGAGGCCAGGGCAUUUAAGAUGUUGAGGACUUUCGGCUUCAUGCAGCAUAACUGAGUAUAUUUAAGAAAGAAUGCUCAUUGAAUGUUCCCGUUACACCAUGCACUGAGGUUUGUCCAAUAGAACAUAAAACUGUGACGCUUGAAGAUAAACGUGACCUUGACCAGCCCUGAGGAACUUCAGGACUGAAUCCUGCAGUAGAAGCAAGAACAGGCUAUUGGGAGACUCUGGUCCUCAACUGCACAAAGAAGGGCCCAUAUCCUCAACUCUGCCACAGACCUCUUUGAUUCCAGUUGGAAGCCUGGAGAUUUCACUGCUGCUGAGGAGGGUUCCAGGGACUGGGAAACCUGAGCUGUGAGCUGAGCUUGGGUGAUCUGUUUCCAUCUGUGGUCUGGUGCUGAUGGUUUCCAAGGCAGGAAUCAAGUCAGUCCUUGAAGAGCUACAACAGAGCAAAAGUGCAGGUAAACAAAGCAACACGAAGGCUAAAUAAAAGUCAUUUCCCCAAGCAAAAUAAGGGUAGGGACCUUCAGAUGGACAGAUUAGCCUGGAUUAAGCAGAUGGAGAAGCCGAGGAUCAAGGAUCGGGCCAGGAGCCAAGGAAUACUGCCACCUCUAGAAGUUGGGAACGGCCCUCAGCUUACAGCCACUAAGAAAAGGGGGAUUUUGGCCCUCUAGCUGCAAGGAAUCUAAUUCCACUUGAAUUAACAAGGAACAUCCAGGCAGGAAUGUAGCCCUGACAACACCCUAAUUUAGGCCAGUCAGGCCCGGACAGACUUCUGACCCACGGAAUUCUAAAAUAAUUUGUGUUUCUUAAACCAUCAAAUUUGUUGUAAUUUGUUAUGGUAGCAACAGGAAUCAAAUAUACCUCUCUACUUUUACAAGAUAUUGUUGUCUGCAGCCUGUUUGAAGUCGGUGACUAAACACAGCUGGUUACUAUGGCAGGCCCAUUCUGAAGAGUUGCAGGACACCCUCGGGAGUACUUUGGUUUGAAGCCUCCUCAUCACCUCGGCUGCCGUUUCUGGGAUCUGGGUUGCAGUCUGAGGCUCAUUUUUCCAAUUCCCAAUACUUCCUACUGAUGAUAUUCUUGAGAGUCAGGCUUUAUCAAGAGAGAAAAAGGACUUUAAAAUUUUCAAACUCCUUUUUAAAUAUCAGAGAUUUUUUUGGCCUACUUUGAUUACAGGUCCUUACUUAUAAGUCUCUCCUUCCUAGGGAGAAAAUAGAAAGCUUUAAGAGACAGAUUACACUUUACCUGACAUUCAUUUUUGCAUGCCUUGUUAAACAUGAAAGAAUGUGUUAAGGCCAUUUUUUAUUGUUUAAUUUGUUGUUUUGACUUUGGGUGUGUGUGUUUGUGUCAAUUAUUUUUUAAUCUACUAGAACAUUCAUUAUCCUUUUUAUUUUGGAAAACAAGGGUGAGAAAGGUUACGUGAUCUGGAGGUAAAAAUACACCAUUAUGUAAAGUUGAAGUGUCAUCCCCUGAAUCCACAUUGCACAUCUAUAAAGUAGAAGAACUUGUCUUACUCCAGUGUUUAGUAUUCGUUAGGUUAAUGUUUUUCAAACAAGCUUGAUAGUAAGAAGCAUUUGAGACUUUUGUUUAAAAUACAUCCCCCUCUACCACUGAAAGUUUAAUUUGGUAAGUUUGUUUGGACAUACAGAUUCUGUAUUUCUAAGAAAUAUUUAGAUGGUUUUUAUCAGACUUGGAGGUCCUCUUAUUGAAAAUAAAAAAGUAGACAUGCUCACGAUGAAGUUUACCUUUUCUUUCUAUUCAUCUAUUUUAAAAAAUAUUUAUGAAAAAUGCUUGCCUGCUGCUUAGCUUGAUUUAAGAGAUAAACUGAUCAGACAGAAUGUCAAGCCAGCCAGCAUCUCCUGGUCUACACCAAAGCCUUUCCUACUUCUUUCAAACAGUGAAGGCACCAGGACAGAGU